rnacentral:rRNA from 1 species
GACGAACGCUGGCGGCGUGCUUAACACAUGCAAGUCGAACGGGCCCGCCCCUGUUUUUGGGGGUGGGUUGAGUGGCGAACGGGUGAGUAUCACGUGAGUAACCUGCCCCCUGCUCCUGGAUAACUGCUUGAAAGGGCGGCUAAUACGGGGUGUGCCGGCUGGUCCGCAUGGGCCUGGUCGGGAUAGUUUCAUCUUCGGGUGUUUCGGUGGGGGAUGGGCUCGCGGCCUAUCAGCUUGUUGGUGGGGUGAUGGCCCACCAAGGCGGUGACGGGUAGCCGGCCUGAGAGGGUGGGCGGCCACAGUGGGACUGAGACACGGCACAGACUCCUGCGGGAGGCAGCAGUGGGGGGUAUUGCACAAUGGGCGGAAGCCUGAUGCAGCGACGUCGCGUGAGGGAUGGAGGCCUUCGGGUUGUGAACCUCUUUCUCCGGUGGUGAAGGCCCUGUCCGUUGCGGCGGGGUUGACGGUAGCCGGGUAUGAAGCGCCGGCUAACUACGUG